rnacentral:snRNA from 1 species
AGCACUGCGCCUUGGUGGCAGUAUCGUAGCCCAUGAGGUCAAUCCGGCGUGAUUAUUGCUAAUUGAAAACUUUACCCAAUGCCCGCCAUGAUGACUUGAAAUACAGUCAGCAUUGGCAAUUUUGACAGGCUCUGUAGGAG